UACGGAAGGGGCAAGCGUUGUUCGGAAUCAUUGGGCGUAAAGGGCGGCGUAGGUGGUUCUGUAUGUCUACCGUGAAAGCGUACGGCUCAACCGUAUUUGUCGGUGGAAACUGCCUGGACUAGAGUUCGGAAGAGGCGAGUGGAAUUCCCGGUGUAGCGGUGGAAAUGACGCAGAUAUCGGGAGGAACACCUAUGGCGAAGGCAGCUCGCUGGGACGUUACUGACGCUGAGACGCGAAAGCGUGGGGAGCAAACAGG
rnacentral:rRNA from 1 species